CACACACACACACACACACACACGCACGCACGCACACACACAUUCAUACAGUCAGAGAAGCCUUGAGCAAACACACACAAACACAGUCCCUACUGCCCACCUACACACUACACACACACACACACACACACACACCCCCUCUACUUCCCAGUGGUGAAAUCUUGAACACUCAUAUGAAAUAUCACACUAGCACGCUAACAGGUCUGUGCACUCAUCCACACCAGUGCACCUGGCUCCCUCCACAGGCCUGAUAGGCCCCAGGUCUCCUCCACUGGCCUGAUGGGCCCCAUGUCUCCUCCACAGGCCUGAUGGGCCCCAUGUCUCCUCCACAGGCCUGAUGGGCCCCAGGUCUCCUCCACAGGCCUGAUGGGCCCCAUGUCUCCUCCACAGGCCUGAUGGGCCCCAGGUCUCCUCUGCAACAUCUGUAGGUUCUGAAACUGACUCAUAUGGGGGAGUGGGGGUUCUCAGGACAGCAUAGCGUUUAUCUGUGUGUCUGUCUGUCGGUGUGUGUGUGUGUUUGUCUGUGUGUGUUUGUCUGUCCGCGUGUGUCUACAGUAUGUUUGUCUGUCCGUGUGUGUGUGUGUGUGUGUGUUUGUAUGAUGAGGCUCCUGAUGACCCAUCUGCUGAGUUGUAGGCGAACAGCAUUCUGCUUCUGUACAGAACAGAGACACUAUUCCCGCAGUGCGUGUGUAUGCGUGUGUAUGCGUGUGUGCGUGCGCGCGCGUGUGUGUGCGUGUGUGUGUGUGUGUGUGCGCGCAUGUGUGUUUGCGUGUGCGCGCGUGUGUGUGCGCGUGCGUGUGUGUCUGUGUGCAUGCGUGCGUGUGUGUGUGUGUGUGUAUGAUGAAGGAGAAGUGCCUCCUGAAGACACUUUUCUCUCGGUGGAAGGGGUCAUAUGUUCUUCCCUCGGUGGAAGGGGUCAGAUGUUUUUCACGCUCUUGUGCGCUGAGGACCCUGACUGACCCCUUCCCUGAGGACUCUUGAUGGCUUGAGGGGUUUUGAUAUGCAUUUGUAAAUGAAUAAAGCAAACUGUGAACUUC